UUUCCGUAGGUGAACCAGCGGAAGGAUCAUUACCGUAUGUCUGACGGCGAGGGUGGGCGUCGUUACGGACCGAAUGGCCGUCCAGCGGGCGAGCACGGGCAGCUCAACCUUUGCACACCCCGCCGUGCACUUUUCUCGGCAGAGGGCCCUCGUGGCCCCGAGCCGGACCACAAUCUCUACAUUACAGAACGAUCUGUGGCCGCUGUGCCGCCUAAUCUUUAACAACUUUCAACAACGGAUCUCUUGGCUCUC
rnacentral:misc_RNA from 1 species